AGCUCAACGGUAGAGCAACGGUAUCGUAAACCGUAGGUUGCCAGUUCAAUUCUGGCAGAGG
rnacentral:tRNA from 1 species